CCUACGGGGGGCAGCAGUGAGGAAUAUUGGUCAAUGGACGAGAGUCUGAACCAGCCAAGUAGCGUGAAGGAUGACUGCCCUAUGGGUUGUAAACUUCUUUUAUAAAGGAAUAAAACGAGGCACGUGUGCCUUUUUGCAGGUACUUUAUGAAUAAGGAUCGGCUAACUCCGUGCCAGCAGCCGCGGUAAUACGGAGGAUCCGAGCGUUAUCCGGAUUUAUUGGGUUUAAAGGGAGCGUAGAUGGGUUGUUAAGUCAGUUGUGAAAGUUUGCGGCUCAACCGUAAAAUUGCAAUUGAUACUGGCAGUCGUGAGUACAGUUGAGGUAGGCGGAAUUCGUGGUGUAGCGGUGAAAUGCUUAGAUAUCACGAAGAACCCAGAUUGCGAAGGCAGCUUACUAAACUGUGACUGACAUUGAUGCUCGAAAGUGUGGGUAUCAAACAGGAUUAGAUACCCGGGUAGUC
rnacentral:rRNA from 1 species